ACGUGAGCAACCUGCCGUGAAGUGGGGGAUAGCUCGCCGAAAGGCGAAUUAAUACCGCAUGUGGCCAGGAAGGACAUCCUUCCGACGCCAAAGCCGGGGCAACCUGGCGCUUCUCGAGGGGCUCGCGGCCUAUCAGCUUGUUGGUGAGGUAACGGCUCACCAAGGCUAUGACGGGUAGCUGGUCUGAGAGGACGACCAGCCACACUGGAACCGAGACACGGUCCAGACACCUACGGGUGGCAGCAGUCGAGAAUUUUUCACAAUGGGGGAAACCCUGAUGGAGCGACGCCGCGUGGAGGAUGAAGGUUCUCGGAUUGUAAACUCCUGUCAUUAGAGAACGAGGCACACGGUUUAACUGGCCGUGUGUUGAUAGUAUCUGAAGAGGAAGAGACGGCUAACUCUGUGCCAGCAGCCGUGGUAAUACAGAGGUCUCAAGCGUUGUUCGGAUUCAUUGGGCGUAAAGGGUGCGUAGGUGGCGAUGUAAGUCGGAUGUGAAAUCUCCAAGCUUAACUUGGAAACUGCAUUCGAUACUGCGUUGCUAGAGGACUGUAGAGGG
rnacentral:rRNA from 1 species